UACGGGGGGGGCAAGCGUUGUUCGGAAUUACUGGGCGUAAAGGGCUAGUAGGUGGCCAACUAAGUCAGACGUGAAAUCCCUCAGCUUAACUGGGGAACUGCUUCUGAUACUGGAUGGCUUGAGUUUGGGAGAGGGAUGCGGAAUUCCAGGUGUAGCGGUGAAAUGCGUAGAUAUCUGGAGGAACACCGGUGGCGAAGGCGGCAUCCUGGACCAACACUGACACUGAAUAGCGAAAGCCAGGGGAGCAAACGGG
rnacentral:rRNA from 1 species